UUAAAAAGCAUUUAAAAAAAUUAAGUCUAUAUAAAAAAAAGAGUUAAUAGAAAUCUUGAACCCCAAACUUACGGUGUUUGUUUCUUGUCUUCACCUGACUUUGCCUACUAGCCACAGAGUAAAAUGUAGAAACUAUUCUUUCAUAAGCUAAUAAUAACCUUAACUUCUCUGAAGAACUAGGAAAUCAAGGAAGACAUGGAUGCAUUUGUCUAUAAAAGUAAAACAGAAAAGUGUAAAGAGUGGAAUGUGGAAAACCUUGUUGUUCAUUCUCUCUCCCUCCCAGAAGCAACCCCUAUUGUGAGCUGGUGAAUUAGGCAGGGGAGCCCUGAGUCCUACCAGCCGGCCUUGGCCUGGAAGCAGCGUUCUCCUUUUCUUUCCUCUGUGGUUUGCAAACACAUGAGUAGCUCAACUAAUCAGGAAUUCAUUUCCAUUCAACUGAAAUCAUUUUUCAAUCUUCAAAAUGGGAGGAUGUUGUCACGCAAGGCUUUGAAGCAACUAAAACAAGCAAGCCUUAUCUAACUGUGAUACAAAUUUUUUAUCUGAAAGGUGAUGUUUUCAUACCCUCCUAAGGGAUGAUGUUGCCCCAGAUCUCAGUUGAGGAAAUAGCCUGCUCAGAGAGUCCACAACUGCCUUCUUUGGACUUUUGAAAAAUAAAUUACCUUGAAGUUAAUUUGGGUUAGUAAGCAUUUCUAAAAGUGCCUUAUUGAAAGUAAAGUAUCUUCAUAAGAUUUAUCUUGUGCACUCUCUGGAUUUCAGUGUAUCUCAUGAGUUUUUUAAUUUUUAAAUUUAUAAGAUACAGAAAAACACACACAACACAUAAGAAAUCAGAAAUUGUAAGCUAAUAGAUAGUGUAAUUCUCUAAAACACUUUUUGCAUUUUAUAAUGGGGCAAGACUACUCUGACGUUGGUUGCACGGGAUUUAGCAUAGGGCAGGGCCACCUCAGAUUCAUUAAAGGAAUGACAGAAGUACAGAGAGACCUACACAGCAAGGCCACCUUGGCAAUAAACCUUUAUGAUAAAGGCCUGCUUAGAGAAGACACUACAUCAUUACAUAAUCUACAGAUUCCCCACUUUAAAAAAAAAAAUCAUGUUAAACAGUAUACCAGCUUAUCUUAAAUUUUCCUUUAAAAAAAAGGUUUGCUCUCACAUGAUUUUUCUAGAACCAACAUGGUGGUUUUCAGCAUCUUUUUCUGCCUGUCGGACUGGGACUUCAUAGUUCCUAUUUCAGGGGAAAGUUCCUUUGCUAACUACAUAGUAUCUGGGUCAGUAAAACUCCAGCCUCCCCCUUGGCAAUGCAAAAAUCUGU